CCUACGGGUGGCAGCAGUGAGGAAUAUUGGUCAAUGGACGAGAGUCUGAACCAGCCAAGUAGCGUGAAGGAUGACUGCCCUAUGGGUUGUAAACUUCUUUUAUAUGGGAAUAAAAUGUUCCACGUGUGGGAGUUUGUAUGUACCAUAUGAAUAAGGAUCGGCUAACUCCGUGCCAGCAGCCGCGGUAAUACGGAGGAUCCGAGCGUUAUCCGGAUUUAUUGGGUUUAAAGGGAGCGUAGGUGGAUUGUUAAGUCAGGUGUGAAAGUUUGCGGCUCAACCGUAAAAUUGCAGUUGAAACUGGCAGUCUUGAGUACAGAAGAGGUGGGCGGAAUGCGUGGUGUAGCGGUGAAAUGCUUAGAUAUCACGAAGAACUCCGAUUGCGAAGGCAGCUCACUGGACUGCAACUGACGCUGAGGCUCGAAAGUGUGGGUAUCAAACAGGAUUAGAUACCCUAGUAGUC
rnacentral:rRNA from 1 species